rnacentral:lncRNA from 1 species
CUUCAAAGCUGAAACUGAGGCCUGAGACCCUCUCCCCUGGGAAGGGGGGGGGGGGGACUUGAGCAUCACUGCCCCCAGAGAAGAAGGGAUUUGGGUUAAUAUUAUCGAGUUAAAACCAAAGGGGAAAGGGGAGAUCAGAAGAGUCCAUGAUGGAAGUGUCAGUGGCAUUUUGAUGGCAGGAGUCUGGUCCUGGCCCAGAAUCGCACAGGGUGCUUUGUGGGGACCCAGGCAGGGUCAGGGGGAUUUGUCCUGGACACACCCAGGAAGACAGACAGAGGGAGAGGCAAGGUCAAGGGAAAGCUUGGGGCGUCUCUGAUUUGGCCUGGUUGUGCCCCAAAGGCACAUUUCCAGAGCUGGUGGGCAGAAAGGGACUAGAGACACUGGGGGGAAAAGUGAUCGGUCACAGAGUUCCUUCUCGAAGGUCUGGAGUUUUUGAAUGAUGCACAAAUGUAAAGGAAGUAACUUUGAAAAAGGGAUUUACAUCUGUUCCUUCAAAUCAGACAGGAAGGAAAGUGGACAGAGUUGGAACCACUGACCCGCAGCCUGGGAAGGAGGAGGCCUGGUGGUCACAGACCCUCUGGGACCGCUGUAGGGGACGCUGGGCACGGUGAGACGUGGCCGCGAAGCUCACACCGCCAGCGCUUUGGGAGGGGUUCUCUACAGGGCAGGGAAGGACAGAGUCCCGACUCAGCCAGCGAAGGAAAGCCAGCUGCCUUUAAGUAGCGAUUAGGGUGAAACUCUGUGUUAGGGACCGAACGGCGUCCCCUCAACUGUGUCACAUGUUGGAGCCCUGGCCUGGGGGCCCCGGAAGGAGGAAAAGCCCCCCUGCCGACACCGUGGUCUGGGCUUCCAGCCCGUGGACCGUGAGGAUGUCAGGCCGGGCGGUUCCAGGCCUGGCGUGCGGCGCUCCAUCAGGGUCGUGGUCCCCAGGGCCCUGAGCAGCUGCAAACGAAGGCUCCAGGAUGUCACGUGGUCUCUGCUCUCUCCUGCGUCCUGUCCACAGCCCUGGGCCGUAAGUGAACAGGAUCUGAGUUACCCACCGCGCAGUCCUCACCCACCGUCUUAGGGUUCUGGCGGCUCCGCCCAUGACACCCACACCUGUUACCUCAGCUCAGGUCAUGAUCUCCGGUUGGUGGGUUCGAGCCCCACGUCGGGCUCUGUGCUGACACCUUGGGGCCAGGAGCCUGUUUCGGAUUCUGUGUCUCCCUCUCUCUCUGUCCUCCCCCCCCUCAAAAAUAAAAUAAACAUUAAAAAAUGUUUAGGUUCUGGAGGCCAGACAUUUGAAACCCACGUGUGGCGAGGUGGGCCC